CCCUUAGAUGUUCUGGGCUGCACGCGCGCUACACUGAUGCACUCAACGAGUUUACGACCUUGCCCGAUAGGGUUGGGUAAUCUUUUUAAAAUGCAUCGUGAUGGGGAUAGAUUAUUGCAAUUAUUAAUCUUCAACGAGGAAUUCCUAGUAAGCACGAGUCAUCAGCUCGUGCUGAUUACGUCCCUGCCCUUUGUACACACCGCCCGUCGCUCCUACCGAUUGAGUGCUCAGGUGAAUAAUUCGGACUGCAGCAAUGUUUGGAUCCCGAACGUUGCAGCGGAAAGUUUAGUGAACCUUAUCACUUAGAGGAAGGAGAAGUCGUAACA
rnacentral:rRNA from 1 species